CAACAGAGCAGCAGUAAUCAUCCUAUAUACCUCGAAUUAGAAUUCCAAAGUCUCUAAACACACUCAAACCCUCAAUUAGCUCAUCAAGUUUCUCAUCCAGACUCAGAGAGGUGAUAAUUAAGGGAGCAAUCUUGCACUUGAAAAUGUUAGCCUCAUGGUUUUCAUGCUUCUGUCCAGCGAAUAAGAUCCAUGAUGUCAAAAAGAUUGUGUCGACAUCUUCAUCUCAUGGUGAACCUAAAGGUGAAGCAGCAGUGAUUGCUGCUGCUAAGCAUUUCUCCAGUGCUCACAAGAUCACUUUUGGCUGAAACAAAUAUUUCUUUCGUGCUAUAUGUGCUUAGUUUGUCACAUGCUAGAAUAUUCAUAUGUCAGUCUGCAGCAGUUAGCUUGGACUUCAUGUGAAGAGCUCAGGAAACCCUGUGAAGAUUGGAGUACCUCACAAACCCCCACCCAAAACUUCCAAAUAACUUCAACAGACCGCCUAACAGUGUUAAUGGCGCCGCCAGCCUUUUUUUUCCCACCCAAAUAGGUGCCUUUUGAUCCAUUGACACUAUUAGGUGUGGAAAGAUUUUAAAGUUCAGAAGGUUUUCGCGGAAAAGAAAAAAAAAAGUUCAUCGUCGACACUUGAAGAUCGAAGGCCAGGGACUAAUAAAUGAUAUGAAAGCAUAUGUAAUCCCGAUAGUUAUUUCAAAUAUCUGAAAGCUUAUGUAAUUUGAAUUUGCUAAUUAAUAAGAUCUAUUUAAAUUUCACA